rnacentral:lncRNA from 1 species
CGCAUCGUUGUAAAUAUGACAGAAUUUGAUGAGACUGUCAUACACGUGAGAGGUUUAGCGCUAUAAAACCAGGUUCAAUCCACCAUUUUCAAAAUUUGAAAAUGCCAGUACCGAUGGGGUUUAAUAAACAAUGUCGUAAUCAAAUAGCUAAGUAUCAAAAUUAUUGUUCACAUAUAUAACAUUUAGCAAAUUUUAUAAUGAACGCACCG